rnacentral:lncRNA from 1 species
CCGGCGGUGAAGACCGGUGCUGAAACAUCGAUGAAAUCGCACGAUGUGUGAACCCGUGCUGGUUUUUCUUUCUAAUUUUUUUCUAAUAAUUUUUUCUAAUAUUUAUUUAUUUACCCUCUAAUAUUUAUUUAUUUACCUCUUUAAUGCAGUUCAUGUGUGUUACCAAGUGCUCCCGUGUCACCGCCCAGUUUAUAUCAUAAUAUUCGCGUUUUAUCAGGUUGUCCCUUGCUGUUGUACUUGAAGAGGUGACCAUUUGCUAUUUGUGUUCCUGAGUUGUUUGGCUACUUCUAUUUAUUCCUCCCACUGUCAAAGAAUGCAACAAAGUUCUGUCUACACAGAAAGGAAAUGCUACAAGUAAUCCAGCCUGUUGACAGGAAGAUAAGUAAGUGGGAAAUAUGUGAUGAGAUGUUAGGCUCAAUAAAACUAUGAAAUGAAGUGAUAAGGGUUUGUUUUGCUUUGUUUUCUUCUCUAUUCUAGGGAGGGUUUUUUUUGGAGGUGAGGCUGGUUUCUGUCUGUUGAU